UGAGGAAUAUUGGUCAAUGGACGGAAGUCUGAACCAGCCAAGUCGCGUGAAGGAAGACGGCGCUAUGCGUUGUAAACUUCUUUUGCAGGGGAAUAAAAAGCGGGACGCGUCCUGUAUUGUAUGUACUCUGCGAAUAAGCAUCGGCUAACUCCGUGCCAGCAGCCGCGGUAAUACGGAGGAUGCGAGCGUUAUCCGGAUUUAUUGGGUUUAAAGGGUGCGUAGGCGGUUUUACAAGUCAGAGGUGAAAUCUUGUCGCUUAACGAUAAGAUUGCCUUUGAAACUGUUGAACUUGAGUGUAAAUGAGGCAGGCGGAAUGUGAUGUGUAGCGGUGAAAUGCAUAGAUAUGUCACAGAACACCGAUUGCGAAGGCAGCUUGCUGGGAUACGACUGACGCUGAUGCACGAAAGCGUGGGGAUCAAACAGGAUUAGAUACCCUGGUAGUCCACGCAGUAAACGAUGAUUACUAACUGUUGGCGAUAUAUUGUCAGUGGUCAAGCGAAAGCGAUAAGUAAUCCACCU
rnacentral:rRNA from 1 species